GCUGGCGUAGCUCAACUGGUAGAGCAGCUGACUUGUAAUCAGCAGGUUGCGGGUUCAAGUCCUGUCGCCAGCUCCA
rnacentral:tRNA from 12 species